UAAGUUAGUAAAGCGAAAAAAAAUAUUUUAAUAAAAAUUUAUAAAUUAAAUAAAUAAAUAUGAAUGUAAAGAAGAAAAAAAAUAACUAUAUUUGAUUAUACUUAAUAAUAUAAAAAAUACAUUAAAAAAUAUUUAAAAUGGAAUCACAACUCAACAAAAAAUAAUAAAAGAAACCGAAAAAAAAGUAAGAAUUAUAUGAGAAGAAAAAUUAUUACAUAGAUAUUAUAAAAAAAANUACAAAUUUUUAAACCCUUUGAUCAUUAGGCAAAUGAUGUCGAAAAAAUUUGAAAAUUGAUUUCUAAGCACUUCAAGUGAUAUAGAUCAUGUUCAACGGAACCGAUCGUCAAUUUGGAAGCUCUAUCAUCGAAAACAACUCGAUAGUAAACGGCCCCGUUUACUAUCGAGAGUAUUCUAGCUCAACUCUAUAUAUAUAUAUAUCAUGUGCGACAUCGAUGCGAUAUUUUAAUUAUUGUAUAAUACACUAUGAUAAUAAUCCAAUAUUAUCAGUGUCACAUUAGUGUCGGCUUGUAUUUAAGAGAGAAAAUAUAGAAACCAACAAUAAAAUCAAUAAUAAAAAGCUCCUUGAAUAAGCUUCUCAAGAGAAAAAAUCCCUAUAAUAAUAUUGGGACAAAUAUUCUAAACAU
rnacentral:lncRNA from 1 species